rnacentral:rRNA from 1 species
GACGAACGCUGGCGGCGUGCUUAACACAUGCCAGUCGAACGGGAUUUCGUAAACAGAAGCCUCGGUGGAAGAUUACUAAUGAGAGUGGCGAACGGGUGAGUAACGCGUGAGCAACCUGCCUAUGACAGUGGGAUAGCCUCGGGAAACCGGGAUUAAUACCGCAUAAAAUCGUAGAAACACAUGUUUUAACGGUCAAAGAUUUAUCGGUCAUAGAUGGGCUCGCGUCUGAUUAGCUAGUUGGUGAGAUAACAGCCCACCAAGGCGACGAUCAGUAGCCGGUCUGAGAGGAUGAACGGCCACAUUGGAACUGAGACACGGUCCAAACUCCUACGGGAGGCAGCAGUGGGGAAUAUUGCACAAUGGGGGAAACCCUGAUGCAGCGACGCCGCGUGAACGAAGAAGGUAUUCGUAUCGUAAAGUUCUGUCCUAUGGGAAGAUAAUGACAGUACCAUAGAAGAAAGCUCCGGCUAAAUACGUG